rnacentral:rRNA from 1 species
GAUGAACGCUGGCGGCGUGCCUAAUACAUGCAAGUCGAGCGAACAGACGAGGAGCUUGCUCCUCUGACGUUAGCGGCGGACGGGUGAGUAACACGUGGAUAACCUACCUAUAAGACUGGGAUAACUUCGGGAAACCGGAGCUAAUACCGGAUAAUAUAUUGAACCGCAUGGUUCAAUAGUGAAAGACGGUUUUGCUGUCACGUAUAGAUGGAUCCGCGCCGCAUUAGCUAGUUGGUAAGGUAACGGCUUACCAAGGCAACGAUGCGUAGCCGACCUGAGGGGGUGAUCGGCCACACUGGAACUGAGACACGGUCCAGACUCCUACGGGAGGCAGCAGUAGGGAAUCUUCCGCAAUGGGCGAAAGCCUGACGGAGCAACGCCGCGUGAGUGAUGAAGGUCUUCGGAUCGUAAAACUCUGUUAUUAGGGAAGAACAAAUGUGUAAGUAACUAUGCACGUCUUGACGGUACCUAAUCAGAAAGCCACGGCUAACUACGUG